GACGAACGCUGGCGGCGUGCCUAAUACAUGCAAGUCGAACGCUUCUUUCCUCCCGAGUGCUUGCACUCAAUUGGAAAGAGGAGUGGCGGACGGGUGAGUAACACGUGGGUAACCUACCCAUCAGAGGGGGAUAACACUUGGAAACAGGUGCUAAUACCGCAUAACAGUUUAUGCCGCAUGGCAUAAGAGUGAAAGGCGCUUUCGGGUGUCGCUGAUGGAUGGACCCGCGGUGCAUUAGCUAGUUGGUGAGGUAACGGCUCACCAAGGCCACGAUGCAUAGCCGACCUGAGAGGGUGCUCGGCCACACUGGGACUGAGACACGGCCCAGACUCCUACGGGAGGCAGCAGUAGGGAAUCUUCGGCAAUGGACGAAAGUCUGACCGAGCAACGCCGCGUGAGUGAAGAAGGUUUUCGGAUCGUAAAACUCUGUUGUUAGAGAAGAACAAGGACGUUAGUAACUGAACGUCCCCUGACGGUAUCUAACCAGAAAGCCACGGCUAACUACGUGC
rnacentral:rRNA from 1 species